rnacentral:lncRNA from 1 species
GGAGGAUGCGUGCGGGUGACAUACCGCAGUAAGAGUACAGCUUUGCCGAUAUCAGUUAAUUCAUUUCUAAAGCUUGUUUUUUUAGAGCAUACCAGUGUUUUUAGAUUAGCCUUUAGUCAGAAGUCAGCAACAGCUGUUUGUGGAACAGUCAAAUCAACAACCAUCAUGAAGAGUCCCUCUGCUUGGAACUUACACAAUAGCAAUAAUGAUUGUAAAGUAAUGGAUGAUACCUUGAAUACAAGUGUGAACCACAGCUGAGUAAACAAUGCAAGAUACAAAGACACUGUUAAAGGAAGUUCAAAAACAUCUAUAUUCAAACAAAAAUAGCUCUCUGCCUAGCUGCAGUUAUAGUUUUGA